rnacentral:antisense_RNA from 2 species
GAUUUGGUCACUGCGCUCCGUUUAAGCCAGUUACCAUAGGUUCAAAGAGUUGGUAGCUCCAAGAACCCUGAAAAACCACCGUUGGUAGCGGUGGUUUUUUC